GCAAAACCGUCAUGGCUGCGCUCCUGAACUCGGAGAAGACAACACGGUUUGUGAAGGAAGAAGGAACUGAUGAUGGAAAGAAGCGAGACCGAGAGAGAAGGCGACGUGACGAGUUCCUCCCUCUACAGAUCUUCCACGAUGUAGAACAUCUAGCAGGUGAGCUGAGCCGUGGCAGUGAAGCGACGCUCGUGUUUUUGGUGUGUUAUUUGAAGUGUUUUUUGAUUCGUUUUGGAUGUCUCUAUUUUAUUUGUUAUUUGGAGUGUUACUUUAUGGUUCGGUUUGGAUGUACAGCUUUUAUUUACUGUAAUAUUUAUUAAUAAUUAAUGUGUAUAUGUAUAUUGGGGGUCGGGUGUAGGGACAACAGAAACAGUGUGUGUGUGAAGACGCAUGGCCAAAGACAUGAGCCAUGCUGUUUACUGUUAACAAGUUGCUACUGUAGAGCAAGACAUGCCCCCUGUGGGCGGGGCAAACACGUUCUAGAGAGCAUUUCAUUUGAUGGACACAAGACUAGUGCAGGAUGAGUCAGCAAAAAAUGUCAUUGUUUACCAGGAUGUGAGGAAUGAUACAACACUGCACUUUGAAGAAGAAAAAAAAAGGGUGUGUGUGUGUGAGAGAGAGAGAGAGACAGAGACAGACAGAGGCAGACAGAGACAGACAGAGAGAGACAGAGAGAGAGAGACAGAGACAGACAGAGACAGACAGAGACAGAGAGAGACAGAGAGAGACAGAGAGAGAGAGAGAUAGAGACAGAGAGAGAUAUAGAGAGAGACAGAGAGAGAUAUAGAGAGAGACAGAGAGAGAGAGAGAGACAGAGAGAGAUAGAGACAGAGAGAGAAAUAGAGAGAGAGAGAGAGAGACAGAGACAGAGAGAGAGACAGACAGUAAACGUCUGGAAAAUACGGCGUUUCUUUUGUUGCAAAUAAUCUGCAGCUGAGACGGAGAACAGAAGGAGCUUCUGCUGAGAUUCCUGUAUUUACGCUGAAAGACGACCGAAAGAAGAGCAGGAGCGUGUUUGGAAUAUUCAUCUGUCCGGCAAGGACGUAGUGGAGCGUUCUACAGUAUGUGCCAUUCAGUCCUAGUUUCCAGCCGUUAUUACAGCAUGGGAGAGGAAAUCUCUUUCAACAGAUGUCCUCAGAAGAAACUGAUGACCAAUUCCCUAGGCAUUGUGCCUCCAUUUAAAAAUAAACACUCACGUGCAGAUACAGAAGGUAUGAUAUCGUACACAGAGGCAAGACAGACACAUGUUUAAAUAUUUGCACUGAUGGACACGAUCCGAAUGAAAACCGAGUAGAUGAAACGGUCUGGAACGCUGGCUGGUGGUACUCAAUAUUCCAGUAAUUUCCUGCAUUUGUAAUGAUGAUGAUUUUUCAAACAGUCUUCUGGUGGAUUCGUGUUAUAAAUAGGCUCUGUCUGUGCUUGAUGUCACAAAAUAAACCCAUUAAACCUGCCUUGCAAAAAUAAAGAAAUAAACAAUCUGAGACAAUCUGUGGUGUGAAAGGGUUCCACGAUUGGAGAUCACAUACCACAAACCUUGCAGCGUGGAUUCUGUCUAAUCACUAAUCACUACAAUUAGUUUUAAACAUCCACAAUAGUCCUGGAGUUGUGCAUUAGACCCGUACCUGUGCAUUAUGCUUAUAAGUAUAUACUCUCUAUCUGAAAACAUUCAAACAGCUGUCAAAAAUUCAGCUUAAUUUUCAGACAGAGUGGUAUAGUAAUGCUAGUCUGAAAUA